GACGAACGCUGGCGGCGUGCUUAACACAUGCAAGUCGAACGAAGUGGCGAACGGGUGAGUAACACGUGGCUGACCUGCCCUGCACUACGGGCUAAGCCUGGGAAACCUGGUCUAAUAACGGCUGGUGUGGGAUGGGCCCGCGGCCUAUCAGCUUGUUGGUGGGGUAAUGGCCUACCAAGGCGGCGACGGGUAGCCGGCCUGAGAGGGUGGAGGGCCACAGUGGGACUGAGACACGGCCCAGAGGCCUACGGGAGGCAGCAGUGGGGGUGAUUGCACAAUGGGCGGAAGCAGGAUGCAGCGAGGCCGAGUGGGGGAUGACGGCCUUCGGGUUGUAAUCUCCUUUCACCAUCGACGCGGUAGAUGGAGAAGAAGCACCGGCUAACUACGUGCCAGCAGCCGCGGUAAUAC
rnacentral:rRNA from 1 species